AUGGUAGCAAUGGUUACAAAGAGCAGCUUCCUUAGGAGUGCGUGUACCAUGUUACCGACAUGGUUACCGAAGGGACCUUGGAAACAAUU
rnacentral:snoRNA from 1 species